UGGGGAAACCCAAGGACGGCCCCAACUGCAGUCCCCUGACCCUGACAUGCCCCAGGCGGGCCUCAGGACAGAGAUUUUCCAGGCCAGGCUCCCCCUGCCCUGGGGGGAUUGGAGGAAUCCUAGCGGAGCACAAGCUGCCCAGCACAGCCCCUCCAGCCCUGAAGCCUGAGGCCAGCAUCUCAGGACACAAGAGGCCAGGCUGGCCCACACCCAUUCUGCAGGCCAGAGCCAUCCUGCCACAGCCAACCCUGCCAGCACCAGGCUGCCCAGCCCCCAGCCAACUGGGCUUAACCAGGGUGGUGGGGGCUGGCACCCAACCCCAGCGCCACAGCUCUGGCCCUGCCUUGGUGGGCAGAUGGAGAGCACACCCAGAGAAGCCGUGGUUCUCAGCCCUCUGGACACCAAGGAGGACCCCAGCUCCAACCCCAGCCCCACACAGGGACACAGUGGCAAGGCCCAGACCUACACCCUGGCAGGUAAAUACCUAGGAGUGGAGUAUCUGGAUCAGACAGAAAUAUGGACACUUUAUUUAUGUGAAAGAGUCAGGAGAAGAACUGGCCACAGUGGUAAAGUACAUUAUCAAAAUAACCAGGAAACAUAGGACAAAGAAUAGCAGGAAAUAGUAUACCGUGUGUUUAUUAAGUUGGGUUGUAAAUAAGAGGGAUAGGAAAGCCCCUUCCCACACUCUUUUCCCGAUGAUCUCAUUUCCAACACCUUCAUAAGCCCCUUCUUUCAUUUGAUACACAGUCUUUCAUUUGAAAGCAGUCUAACAUGUUAAUGUGUCAGAUAAAGCUUGUAUCUAAAGACUGCUUUCAAAGGAAAGGUUCAUAGUCUUCUUAUAAUGUUUUUAUGUGGUUUUGAAAUCGGGGUAAUACUGGCCUCAGAGGAAGAGUUGAAGGUGUUCCUCUCUUUUCAGUUAUUGUUGGAAGGGUUUGUGCAGAGUUGACAUACUUCUUUCUUAAAUCUUUGGUAGAAUUCACCAGUGAAACCAUCUGGGCCUGGGGUUUUCUUUGCAGGAAGGCUUUGUUGUGUUUUAUUUACAAUUCAAUUCCUUUAACAUAUAGGGCCAUUCAAGUUAUUUCUGCCCAAGUGAUCUUCGAUUCAUCCUGUGUCCAAGGAGUUUGUCCUUUUCAUCCGGGCUGCCAAAUGUUUCGACUUGAAGUAGUUCAUGAUGUCCCCCUAUUAUCUUUGUAAUAUGUGUAGAAUCCACAGUGGCGUCACCUGUCUUGUUCCUAACAUUGGAGUGGAACGUGGUGGAUUUUCCCUACAUGCGGCUUUGGCUAAACCGCACGUUCCCCUCCCUCCUGAGGGUCUGUCUCCUCAUCCACCCGCUAGUGCAUCUCCAGCUUCUGUACCUCAGACUCACCUUGAAAGUCCACUUGACAUCCAUCACUGUGCAGUCAGUCAGGAAAAGGAAGCCACACUCGUUAUUUCAAACAGAAGGAAGUUAAUACAGAGAACUGGUUACACAGGUGCUGGAGGCUGGAAGAGAAGACGGGCACCGAGGCACCUGACGUUGUGAACAGCAGGAAGCAGCUUCCACUCCCAGGGCUGGGGGAACAAAUGAAAGAGGUUGGGCUGCCAGAACCCAGGAGCACAGAGAAAGGAUGGAGUGGCAGAGCCAGUAUUGGGAGUGCCAAAAGAAGUGGUGGGCUGGAGUAGCCACCCCCCUCUAUGGCUGGAGGGCCCUGAAAGAAGCUGGUGAAGGAACAGAAAUCUCCUCUCCUCACCUCCCACCAGUGCCUUCCAGGAAGACAUCUGGUCAAAGAGCCUGAAAAUACAGUGUGCACAAUCCCAGCCGCAUGUAUCAGUCAGCUAUUGCUGCAUAACAAAGCACCCAAAAACCAAGGGCUUACAACAAUGUGUUUCAUGGAUGAUAGACGGAUAGAGAGAUAGAAGAGAUAGGUAGAAAUGUGUGUGCGCACGUGUGUGUGUGUGUGUGUGUGUGUGUGAAUGUGUGUGUGUAUGGAUUAGGGUAUAUACAGAUGCUUUCUAGUAUUCUCCCCUGAGAAGGUCUACCAAAAAAAAAUGACACCCCAGUAGUAACUACCACACCCAAUGUCCAGAUCUUGGUUUCUAAAUACCAUUUUCCAAUUAAAAGAAUCAGGACUCCUUAGAGAAGUAGCUGGGUCUCUGGGGAAGGAAAUUACAAGAUAAACCUGGAGCAUUUUAUGGUGCCAGAAAGUGAGGAAGGGCUCAAAAACAGAUAGGGUGAAAGCACACAGGAGCCACUGUGAAGGGGCUGCCAUGGCCAACACUGGAACAAUUUGAGAAACAAAAUAAAGAUAAUGUUGGAUUAUAACCCAAAUAAUAAAAUAAGUAUCUACAAACCCAUAGUGAAGUAAAUAACUGCACAAACAAAUAAGAAGAAACAGCUUAUUUUAAUAGAAUUCCAGUUACUUAAUGCAGAAGAAAUGAAGUAAAUAGAAAAUCACCAUCAGAGGCCACAGGAUUAACAGCUGUCUACAGAGGUAUGCUAAAGUCAAUAGGCUGAGGUUAGAAGAGAAACAAGUUAUUUACAUGAAUUCAAAGUAUCUUCCCUAAGAUAUUUAUUAAUUACAAAGUCGCAAAAUAGUAACUUUGCAGUGCAGAGACCUGGCAGACGCCACCUGAACCAAGGGUUCAAGGUUAACAUCCCCAGCAAUGGGACAGGCAGCGUCAUACACUCUGAUAAGCUACAUAAGAGCACGUGGCCGGGCCCACUGGCUCACACCUAUAAUCCCAGCAUUUGGAGAGGCCACAUUGGGAAAACCGCUUGAGGCCAGGAGUUCGAGACCAGCCUGGGCAAUCUAGGGAGACCUUGUCUCUGCAGAAAUGUUAAAAAAUUAGCUGGGCACAGCAGUGCAUAGACUCUGGGGUUCCCAGGGACCUCAAACUCCACCCUAGUGGGGCUGGACCUGGGGUGUGGCCUGUGCCGGAUGUCCUCGCUGGCUGACAUUUGCUUUCUUUAUUACUCCCUUCCUUUAUUGCACCGUUUAAUUGUAUUAAAUGGUGCCCAAGGCAUAAGGUGCAGGAUUUUAUGGCCUCGGGGUGACCCUGCAGUGAGGCCUGGCCCUUUCCUUCUUUACUUUGUGAGCCCGGGGCUGCCCUGCCCUCAACGGUGACGCUAUGGGAGCCCUUGACUCAUGUGCCAGGAAUUGGGAGGGACGCCAAAGGCAGUGCUGUUUUCCAUACAGAGCUGUGGCACUCGUUACAGAAAUCAGAAAACACAAAACUGUCCGUGGGUGGAAGAAAAAUGUCCCCCUCCCCCUCCCCCGAGAAGCCUCUUAAUCCUUCAAAAUCUUUCCCACCUUCUGUGCAGGUCUGGGAGAUUCCUGACAUUGUCCUGGGCAUUCCUGGGGACAAUUAUGUAGCCGGAGUCUUUUCAUUAAAUGACAUUUGACGUCUCUGAACUUAAAGCAAUACACGUGCACCGAGGGCAUGUCCAGAUGCAGAGACGUGUUCGAAAGCUCUAGCGCGUCCCCAUGUCAGCGGCCUGGGGUCCCCAGGUGGCAGUAUCGUUUCAGGUGGGGAGGGGUCCCGGCUGCUGGGUGCCGUGGCCUGGCCUGGGCAGGCACAGUUGCUCAUCUGCGAUGGGUUCUGGAUAGCAGCACCCUUGCUGGUUAUGGGGGUGAACAGUGUUCGUGAAUCUCUGCCCGCAUGGGCACCCACGGGUGCUCCUAAGUUCUCCUGGUUAUUACCACAGAUUGUUUUACAGCCUCUUUUCCCCCACAAUAUAUCGGGGAAGUUAAAUAUUUGCUGAGAACAUGAUUAUUGAUUGAUUGAUUGAUUUUGAGGCAGGGUCUC